rnacentral:lncRNA from 10 species
CCACCCCCACCCUGCCACAGCUUCGGGACGACUGGAUCGCCGCGCCUGGGCCGGAGCGAGCCAUCUGCGGGCACUAUGCAAAGCGGGAGACGGCGCGAGCGGCGCCCGGCUCACACUAGCUCUUCCAGGACGCAGAGAGAACCAUUCUCUGCUUUCAAUAGGACAGAAGAGCUCCUUGGCACUGGAUGCCUCCGGGUCUGGUUGAGAGAGGAAUGGUUAGGAGACUGUUCUGAGGAUACGCAGACAUCAUCCAAAGCUUCCUACAUUCAGAUGAGGACAGAGGUUGGGCCAGAGCUUUGUAAGCUUGUUACCUAAGGAUGGUUCUGACCAUGUAAGCAGAUCACAGAAGCUGGAGGCAAAGGAUGCCAAGAUGGGAAAGCCACAUAAUGGAAGGAUCCUGGAUUUCAGAGCUGUCACUUGGAGGAGGGGCACCCAGUGAAGGUGUCUUAUCUAACCCACACCAUAUCUUCAUGAAGUGGCCAUAUGGAUUUGAUCCCUAUCCUUCAGAGGUGCUCAGCCUAAGGGAACACGGAUAGUAGAUUAAGCACUGACCAGAGCCAGCCUUGACAAUGUGCUGAUGGCAACCUAGAACAUAAGCAGAGGAGUAUACAGGACAAGAACUUGAUGGUCUCGGGAAAAUGGACAACAUGACUCAGGUGAAAAAGAUUGAUCAUCAGAUGUUUCUUAUGUAUCAACCUGAUAUUUAAAUCCAUGAAGGACAGAGACGACAAAGGCAGGUGGAAUAGAUAGAGAAGAGAUUCAAGGUCUGAGCUCUACAUUACUCAAACUGUUAGAGAUUAGGAAGAAGAGGAAGACCUGGCAAAAGAAUGUCCUGGGAUGUAGAAAGAAAACCAGAAGCUUGUGUUCUCUGGAAACCAAAUGAAGAAAGGGCUUCCAGAAGGACAGACAAAGUGUAGUGUGUCAAAGGCUCCUGAGCAAUCAGAGGAGAGCACAAAGGGGCUCACAGGACUUUGGUAUCUGGAUCACCCAGUGACACUUCCUGAUCACGAGAAACUGUCAGACCAACAGGGGCACUUUCUGAAACCAGCAGUUCUUCAGUGCCCAAAUGCAACCUUGAUGGUUUGAUUUUGGAGGAUGGCAAUUCAUUAACAGCACUCCCCAGUGAUAAAUAUGAAAACCAAUAAAACCCCCCACCCAAGGCAAUCUCUCCCAGCUCCUCGCUUUGAGUAAAGUGAGUAACCUCCAUUUCUGCCAACUCCUGUCUUGUCUGAAGCCACAUUUCCCCAGCAAUGUCACAUAUGCAUUUCUUGAUCCUGGUCAUUUCUCCUCUUGGGAGAUGAAUCAUAAAGAAAAUGAGAUCUGUGUGCCCUGGUGACUAUGGAUGCAAGAGUCUGCUGCCCUGGAGGGAACAGCUGGAAAAGUAGAUGGUGAAGACGUGUGGGGGGGAAACAGUGGAGAAGGCAUCUUUGCAGGGGAUCAAGGUGACAGAGUGAUUAGUUACACUGUUUUGACAUGUGAGAACAGGGGGUUAUAAAAAUGGAUACAGGAAGAGGGAGAGAAAGUAAGGACCAAAACAUGAAGCCAGUCAUGAAUGUUUUUACAUAAAAAGCAGCAGAUUUACGGCAAAUAUGUGAUGUUUCCACAUUUUCUGCCUCUAGUUAGCAGGGGCAGCACAAAGAGCAUUACUGUGGAGCUGAACUUUGGGUAAAAGAUUAACAGCCAGUCCUUUCUCUCCAGUGUCUGCUUCCUUCUGGGCUUGCCCUGGGGGAAAAGGAGGGCUGGCAUGGAUAUGCCUGCAGCCCUCACCCUAGAUGUUCUUCCACGCCUCUCUGUUCAUUCAUUGCUUAGUCAUUCCUCAGGCAUGGAUUGAGACCACUGUGUGCCCAGGACCGACCUGGCCUAGGAUGGACAUAGAGAUGGAAAAGGCACAGGGAGCAGGUGACAGAGACAAAUCAAGGUCAUGGAGAAUAGCAGAGUAAGAUAGAAGAUGAAGGCAGGAGAUGGGGUUCUUGAGAAAGCGAGAGCAGGACUGACCCGUGUCUGCCUCACCUGUUAUUGCUGUAGCCUCUUCUCCUUGGAGUAUCCCUCCUGCUCUUGCAUCACCUUAGGAACUUGGAUCAGAGAGGAAAGUUACGGCCUGGAUAUGUUGUAGUAGGAGGGGACAAACAUGUUUGGAGACAGAAAUGCUUGGGGAGCGGGUGUUUUUGGGGGAUGAGACUUUCCAGGUCUCUCAAUUCACACUAUGUAGGUAGUUCACUGCACAGCUUAAAUAAGAGACAACUCUCCGGAGUGGUUGGCUCUCAUCCAAAAAAUGUGUUUUGGGCCUCAGAUUUCCAACGGAAGGGCUGAAGCGUGACUGGCCUGAUGUCAACUACUGAAGUCCACCUGCCCCUGCCCUAUCAGGUGUGGAAAUGCUGGGGUUCCUCUCUCAGAACCUACUUCCUGAGAUGUCGAAAUAUACCCAAGAGUAUUUCUGGGCCUUCUCCAAUCCGAAACUGUUUAGUUUUUGUGUGUGUGUGCCUACUUGGCCACACUAGAAGACAGAGGUGGCCUGGGUGAAAUGCAGGUUUCUAGAGGCUCUCUGACAAAGCUCAGGCCACCAGCCCCAGGCCAGCCUGUGGGUAGUCCUGGCUGACAGUCACUUCAUACCUCACCUGGGCUUUUUGCCAAAUUCAAAGUGUGUGUAUAUGUGGAGUGCUGGGUUCCCACCACUGACAGUCUGUAAGUCAUUCACUUAGCUCAAUUUGUCUUACUUUCUUCUGAAAUUUCUUCCUUCUUGUUCUUUUUCCCAGGAGAAACCAGGAGAAGGCAGUCCUAGGGCAGUCUCCGGGCCAGCUUUCCCUAAUAAGAAGGCAGAGCUCCUCUUCACCCAGACUUCAGACCUAUAGAGGCAGCCUGGGGUCCCGGGAUGCCCUUGCACUCAGAGAUGUCCCCAGAGUCCUAGGGAAAUGGAGGAUAACUAGGAGGAAGCUGUUCAUGGCUGGCGAUGAGGUCUAUACCUUCUUGUCCGUCUCAGUGCUGUCUGCUAUUGAAUUUUUGUGCAGAUCACAUUAACUUAAAGCCAGUUCUCAAGAAGCUCCCCCUGCCGCCGGCAUAUCCACCAGUUGCUCCCCUUUCCUGCCAUUAAUCAGGGUCUGCUAGUUAGAGAACAAAUUCCUAUUUGUCCAAACAGUUGCCAACACCCCCACCCCAAGGUAGUUAAAUGAGGAUGAAUGGGUCAUUCUUAUUAAAAAAUGACUUAAAUUUCUCAAAUUCUAUUUAUGUUUCUUUUACAUCCCAAUUUUCUAUAGAUUUAGUGACUCCAAAUGAUAAGGUCUCAAGCUCAUAAUAAUUUAUCCCUUGGGUAACACACAAGGCUUGGUGGUAUUUCAGUAAUAUUCAUGACAACAGCAGCUGUCGUGCUAAUAAGGACUGAUGUCACCAGAGCACUUUCUAUGUGCCAAGCAUGGUGCACAACACUUUACAUACAUUAUGUCAUUUAAUUUUCACAAAACCUCACAGAGGUAAAUAUUAUUAUCUUCCUCUGCAUAUAAGGAAAUGAAUGUUCGGAAAGAUUAAGUCAACUCACUGAGGUCCCAUCAGUGCUCUUUCAUAUGCCUCUGUUGCAGUCUCAUUGAACUGCUGAAAUCAGAAAAACCUGGAGACCUUGUUAACCUUCAGAUUCCUGGGCCCCAUCUUAGAUGCAGGGAGUCAGACUUCCUGGGAGUGUGGCCCUGGAAUUUUCAUUUGUAAACACAUUCCCCAAGAGACCUGUAUGCACACUAAAGUGGGAGAAUUCACGAUCUCUGGCUUUUGUGAUGUUUUAAACGCACUAUAUAAUUUCAGUAGCAAAAGAAUUGGGCUUUGGGAAGGGAGUGUGUGGUGAACCCUGAAAGCUGAAUGGACUUCCUUCCUGUGGAGGAGCAGUGGGAGAAACUGGAGGCAGAGAGCUGUGUUUCAUUCCUUGAUUGAGCCUUUGUGAGUUAUUUAAUCUCUUUCAGUCUCUAUUUUUUUCAUUUGUAAACCAGGAAGGAUACUUGUAUUUUCCAGGUGGUUGUGAGGUGUGAAAGAGAUGAGAGUAGAACAAAAUUUUAAAAGUUGAAAGCACUCAACAAAUGUAUUUGGUAUUAAUCAUGGGUUUCCCUGGGGCCGAGGAAGCCACCAGCCACCGCAGGCCUGUACACAAUGCCAGCCACCAUGUAUGGAUACGGAGGAGGCAAAAGGACUAGCGAACACUCCCAGGGACUGGAUGUCUUGAAUAUCUGUCCAACUUUCUUGGGAGGGGCCAUUUCUUCUGUAACUCAAAGGAAUUUAUUAUUUUUCAGCCAGGGAGGCAUGCUUUCUAUCUACUGCUAGUACUCCCAGACCAAGCUGUUUCAGUGGGACUGAGGUGUGACUUCUGCCUCGGUUUCAUCCAUCUGUGCAGGGAAGAGAAAAAUGCCUGCACCUCCACGGUCACACCCUCUGUUGGAACCACCUCCUUAAGCCAGAAUUAUUGAAUGUUCUCUAUGUGCCAGAAUUAUUAUUAUCUCAUUUGAUUCUCACAACAAUGCCAUGAAGUCUAUACAGACAUACCUUGGAAAUACAGCGGGUUUGGUUCCAGACCACCGCAAUAAAGCUAAUACCGCAAUAAAAUGGGUCACACGAAUUUUUUGGAUUAGGCUUCGGCUUAAGGGAAUGUUGUGGCUGGUUUGAUGUUUUAUCCAGACCGCUAACACUUUCUCCCUAUCAGCAAUGAGGCUGUUUUGCUUUCUUAUCAUUCCUGUGUUCACUGGAGUAGCACUUUUAAUUUCCUUCAAGAACUUUUCCUUUGCAUUCAUAACUUGGCUAACUGUUUGGCACAAGAGGCCUGCCUAGCUUUUGGCCUAUCUAAGCUUUUGACUUGCCUUCCUCACUGAGCUUAAUCAUCUCUAGCCUUGGAUUUAACGUGGAAAAUGUGUGACCCUUCCUUUCACUUGAACACUUGGAAGCUAUUGUAGGGUUAUUAACUGGCCUAAUUCAAUAUUAUUGUGUCUCAGGGAACAGGGAGGCCCAGAGAGAGAGAGACGGGAAAACAGAAAGUCAGUGGGGCAGGCAGAACACACACGUUUAUUUAUUAAGUUUGCUGUCAUAUGUUGGUGCAGUUCAUGCUGCCCCAAAACAAUUACAAUAACAAGAUCAAAGAUUCCUGGUCAUAGAUUGCCAUAACAGAUACAGUAAUCACGAAAAAGUUUGAGAUAUUGUGAGAAUUACGCAGAUAUUGUGAGAAAUAUGACCCAGAGACAAGAAGCGAGCACAUGCCGUUAGAAAAAUGGCACCAACAGACUUGCUUGCUGCAGGGUUACACAUACCUUCAAUUUGUAAAAAAAAAAAACUGUAAUAUCUGCAAAACGCAAUAAAGAAAAGUGUAAUAAAAUGCAGUCUGCCUGAACUUCAAUUAUUCCCAUUUUAUAGAAGAGGAAAUAGAUGCAGGGAGUUUGAUCUGCCUGAACUAGUAAAUGGUAGAACUCUGGGACUAACAUUCCUAUCCUCUAUGCUACAUUCCUAGGAAAGAACGCUCAGACAGGGUUGGACUGAGAGUGUGUUAAGCUUUGCACUGUUUUGAGCCCUCUGAAGGAGUGUCCGUAUUUGAAAGCUGGCCUCCUUCCUUUCACUGGCCCUCCACAGUGUGGCCUAAGUUAUUCAAUUAGGAAGGGAAAUAAUUGGCAGUGGAGAAUGCCUCUAGCAGUGGUAAUUACCUCCAGUGCCUUGUAGGAAUAGUCAAGCUACAUUUCAGUUUAUGCUGUAAAACCUUAAUUAUAAUAUAAACAGCUGCCCUUCAGCCCAGUGGGGCAGCCUUCCCCCGCCUUCCUUCUCUGGCCUCUGAAUGGCCCUGCCUCCUGAAUGGUCAGGGAGGUCCAGGGACGGAAGGAGACCUGGGAGGAGGGGAGCCGAUGACUAUGCGUGCGUUGGGGUUUGGAAGACUAAGCUGGAGGGAGCCACUGCCAGGGUCCCAUCUUCAAGUGAUGAAGCCAAAGGCAGCAUCCCCAUUCUUGGUACCACUCACACUGAGUCUCUUGGGGGAGCAGCCUCCAGCCAUUAGCAGUCAGCCCAGUGCCAUUAGGCUAGGAUAGGGUUUAGCAGGCUAUGGUAUCAUUUCAGGGUAACAUCUCUUUCUAUUUACUCCCCUAUAAGGGAGAACAGAGUCUUCCCUUCUAGAUCCAGACUUCCUGGCCAUGUAGGAGCCCUGUUGAGUGCCUGGUGCACUCUAGGUAGUAUGCGAGGCAUGGUUGCAAGGGUUCCCCAUUUCAACUUCACAGCACUUGGAUACACAGAAAAUUAACAUCCUCAUUUGACUAUUGAGGAAAAUGAGACUUUGAAAGUUUAAACGGAGAUAAGGCUUGGGAGGCAGACAGCCCUGUAAGUGACUUAAGUUCAGGAAGGAGAAGGACACUCAAUAUUUUUGUUCAGAGCACUGGGAAGGAGAGAGAGGGAUCAGUCACCAUCGGGCAUUUGAGAAGGUCCAGGAACAGGGGGCUGGUGAGCAGAGGGGGGAAUAACACCAGAGGGGCUGAAAUUGCUGAUUGCUGGGUUCACAGAUCUACCCACGAGCGGCCCAGGUACCCCAUGAGCGGCUGCUCUGUGUCAUCUGACCACUGGAUUGUAACCUGGGCUGAAAGAAUCAGAAGUCAGUGUGGCGAGGCAGGAGUCCUCAGAUGGUCAGAGCUGACUCUUCAACUCUUAAGGGCAAAAUGGAAAAUGUGAGCUUGUUGGUGGUCUUCGAAACACAGUAAGCAAUCCAUGCCCCUGAAGAGCAGGGAUAAUUAUAGGCAUGCCCUUGUUUUAUUGUGCUUUGCAGAUAUUGCAUGUUUUUACAAAUUGAAGAUUUAUGGCAACUCUGCAUACAGCAAAUCUAUUGAUGCCAUCUUUUUCCAAUAUCACAUGCUCACUCUGUGUCUCUGUCUCACAUUUUGGUAGUUCUCCCAAUAUUUCACACCUUAUUAUUAUUAUUAUAUCUGUUAUGAUGAUCUGUGGUCAGGGAUCUUUGAGGUUACUAUUGUAGUUGUUUUGAGGUGCCAUGAACUGCACCCAUGUAAGACAGCGAACAUAAUCAAUAAAUGUUGUGUGUUCUGACUGCUCCACCAACCGACUGUUUCCCUGUCUCUUUCUCUCUCCUCUGGCUCCCUAUUCCCUGAGGCACAAUCAUAUUGAAAUUAGGCCAAAUAAUAACCCUACAAUGGCUUCUAAAGGUUCAAGUAAAAGGAAGAGUCACAUCUCUUACUCUAAAUCAAAAGCUAGAAAUGAUUAAGCUUAGUGAGGAAGGCAUGUGGAAAGCUGAGAUGGGCUAAAAGCUAGGCCUCUUGCACCAGUUACAGAAGUUGUGAAUGCAAAGGAAAAGUUCUUGAAGGAAAUUAAAAGUGCUACUCCAGUGAACACAGGAAUGAUAAGAAAGCAAAACAGCCUUUUGCUAAUAGCGAGAAAGUUAGAGUGGUCUGAAUAAAAGAUCAAACCAGCCACAACAUUCCCUUAGAGUCAAAGCCUAAUCCAGAAAAUUGGUGGGACUCACUUUAUUAUGACAUUUGCUUUAUUGCAGUGAUCUGGAACCAAACCCACUAUGUUUCUGAGGUAGAUCUAUAUUGAACUCCUAUUUUUAAAUUUGUUUUCGAUUUCAGUUUAUAAGUUCUACAUGUUUCAUAAUGGUCAUAUGCACAAUAGGACAUCUUUCUAAUCCAUACACAAAUAUAUGUUCAGGAAUGUUUUACAACUUGGGGUGCAUAACUAAAAUGUUUGGAGUUCACUGGGAUAGAAGCUAAUGAUUACAUUAAUUACUAGUUUGUUUUGUUUAUUAACUAUGCUCAACAGGUAGUGGCUUGUAUUAGUCCAUUCUCACACUGCAUCGAAGAAACUGGGAAAGAGGUUUAAUUGACUCACAGUUCCACAUGGCUGGGAAGGCCUCAGGAAGCUUACAAUCAUGGUGGAAGGGGAAGUAAACGCAUCCUUCUUCACAAGGUGGCAGGAGAAAGAAGUGCCAAGCAAAGGGAAAAAAGCCCCGUAUAAAAACAUCAGGUCUUAUGAGAACUCACUCACUAUCACGAGAACAGCAUGGGGGUCACUGCCCCCAUGAUUCAAUCAUCCCCCAAUGGCUCCCUCCCAUGACACGUGGAGAUUAUGGAAACUACAAUUCAAGAUGAGAUUUGGGUGGAGACACAGCCAAACCAUAUCAUGGCUCAAUGUUAAUAACUUGGAGUGAUAAGAAUUAUUACUCAUGGAGAAUCUAUGAGUUUGCUGUCUCAUUCAAUCUUGCAGAAACAAGGUAAAGUUGUGUCCACAGCAUGGACUCUGAAGCUGGACCCCCUGGAUCCAAAUCCUUGCUCUGUCAUCUGUUAGCCUUGUGACUUGGAAUAAGUUACUCAGCCUUGCUGUGCCUUCAUGUCUUCAUCUGGAGAAUGAAGCUCACAAAUUCUAGGCUACAUUGUAAGGUACAUAUGAGGAUUACAUGAGUUAAUGCAUGUAAAGCCCUUAUAAUAGUGCUUAGCCCUGAAUAACCAUUCAGUGAAUGGUUAGUGACAUGGAUUUUACUGAUAAGAAGAUGGAGCUUCAGGGAGGUGAGUGGAAGAACUGGCAUUCUGGCUAAUUCCAAAGCCUAUGUGUUGGGAUCCACAAUGUAAACCAUUCUAAGUCCUUACCAACAACCUGAUGGAUCCAAGAAAGCAUAUCUGCUUCUCCUUUAAUCACCUAUGAUUCUAACUCUCCUUGCUAUGCCCACCAUAUCCAUUUCCCCAGCCAGAACAGAGAAAAGGACAUCCACAUAGCUCCUUCUCAGUUGGAUGAUGCCCAGCAAGUUGGCCCUUGCUGCCCUCAUCCCAAGAGGUUUACUGCUCCCGUUGGUCAUUUAGGCUUCGCCCAAGCCCCUCAGGUUGUCCUGCUCCAAGAAAGAAUUCUAGAGCCUCCUGGAGUUGUAGACACGGAAGGCAGGAGUAUUGCAGAGCAGAAGGUGCUGCAAAGGACUCAGGUAGCAAAGGAUACAUGCCAGCUGGACACACUGGAAUUGGAACUCACAUCACUGCCUCUGCUGUCUGGUUUUCCUUGACAGUCCUUGAGUACAGCAUCCACAUGUUCUAAUUCUGUAUAAAACUGAGGAGCAAGAUAUCUUUGUUCUAAAGACUUUAAACUCUGUGUGAGUUUUAGCAAUUUAAUAGGCAUCUCAGGUCUCUCUAGUCCCAGCUUCCUGCUCUGAGAGCAGUGGUUGGGUGAGGUUUAGGCUCAUACAAUCUAUGUAAAACUUCAAAUUCAGGGACUUCAAGGUGAGAAGUGCUAAUCGCUAUGAGAAGAGUAGGAAACCACAGUGAUCUGGGCAUCCUAUGCUAUGGACUCCCAGAGACGAGCUUGCUGUUGGCAGCCCCCCUCUGCUCCUCUCGUAGAGAUUAGGUCCCUGCUCCCCCACUUCCAAGGCCAUCUAUCGCUCUAUCUUCCAUGAGCACCACAGAACAGAUUCUCCACCCUCCUUCUCCUGAAGAACACAGCCUUUGGGAGUUUUCUAAAGGUUUUUAGUGUUAGUAGCAGUGAGAAACUAACAGUAAAUAAAAUUUCCAGACAAAAACGGAAAUUUGCAGUGUUUCAAGACACUUUAAACGAUGCAUUUGAAACGAGUGGCUUGCAUUAGGAUGCAAAUUAACAUCCUUGAGUGGCUUUUUAUAUUUUUUAUUUCAUGUUAACCUGACUACAACUUUCUCAUCUUCAUGUGUUUCCUAGGAGUUCUUUAAUGAAAAGCUGAAGGAUGAAGCCCGGGGUUGUUCAACAUGGAACAGGCUGGGCUGGCUCCAUCUCGUCAGUUAUCUCUUGGUGGGCAGCAAGACAAGGGAGAGAUGAUUAAAAUAAUUGCACUUUAAGACAUCUUCAGCUGAGAUCAUGCCAUUGCACUCCAGCCUGGGUGACAGCGGGAGACAGAGCCUCGCUCUUUUGCCCAGGCUAGAGUGCAGUGGCGUGAUCUCAGCUCACUGCAACUUCUGCCUCCCGGGUUCAAGUGAUUCUCCUGCCUCAGCCUCCCAAGUAGCUGGGACUACAGUUGCGUGCCACCACACCCAGCUAAUUUUUGCAUUUUUAGUAGAGACGGGGUUUCACCAUGUUGGCCAGGAAGGUCUUGAUCUCUUGACCUCGUGAUCCGCCCUUCUCAGCCUCCCAAAGUGCUGGGAUUACAGGUUUGAGCCACCGUGCCCGGCCGACAUCUUUAGCCAUAAAAAAUUGCUUACAGAAUUGUAAAGCCUCUCUUCAUGUCAGUUUUCUUAACCUCCUCAACUCAACUGUCCGAUGAUGGGUUUACAAGCCCUUCGGGACUGCUGUGUUAAGUAAGAGGAAUUUAGCUCCCCACAUUCAGUGGGAGUUAAAUAUCCAGGGCCA